AGCAGAAAGAAAAGUGGCGGAGAGGGAAGGUGAUGCCUGGGUUGAGGAUAAGUAGUGAAGGAUUUGCAGGCAUAGUUUUGUAUGGUUUGGUUUGGGGAGAGAGCAACACACAAACAGAGAGAGAGAGAGAGAGAGAGAGAGAGAGAGAGAGACAGAGAGAGAGAGAGAGAGGU